UCAUCAUGCCCUUAUGACCUAGGGCUACACACGUGCUACAAUGGUGGUACAGAGGGCAGCCAAGCCGUGAGGUGGAGCUAAUCCCACAAAGCCGAUCGUAGUCCGGAUCGGAGUCUGCAACUCGACUCCGUGAAGUCGGAAUCGCUAGUAAUCGCGGAUCAGAAUGCCGCGGUGAAUACGUUCCCGGGCCUU
rnacentral:rRNA from 1 species